UCCAGGGACUCAAAGAUUCUGUUCUUAAAAACAGUCAAGUUGCCAAUUCGAACUGCAACUAAGGUGGAUAUAAACUUUGGAAAUUGUUUGCUAUGCGGCCUGGUAUCUGAUGCAAACAUUUAAAACAGAUACCAGUUUGGUCUCCUGGAUAUCAACAACUGUGCAAAGGAUUUAAGAGGUGAUUAAGACAAGCAAUGUCUGAUCUCAUGUAAACUCCCUGAAGCUGUUCUAGUAAAUAUUUAAUAGACAUAUUGCUCACUGUCUACAACUAUUUUCUAAUUCAUUUCUGAUAUGUCUAUUGCAAAAUCUCUGUGAUUAUUUUCUCAGCAUUCCUGGAGGGUCACUCUGACAGCAAACCAUUAGAGCAAAACAGGAUUGAGCCUGGGAGAGGUGCCACUUUCUGGGACUCUCAGUUUUCCUUUCUCAUGUGAUACAGAACGCAAUGAUGUAAAUGCAAUGAAGCCUGACUGUUCCUUACAUGGCUAGUGAAUAGCUCAUUCCUCUGAACCCUAAUCAAAUGAUUUUUGAAUCUUCAUCAACUUUGUGUUCAACCUCUAAGUGUUCUCAGUGUUGAUCUCUAGUACCCAAUGCAUUACAGUGGAAAUUAUUUGGAAUAUUUAGAAGCAUUUUAACAAUCAUCUGGUCAUUUUUUCACAUUGUGAAACCUCAAAUCCAUCUGAGU
rnacentral:lncRNA from 1 species